AGUGAACGCUGGCGGUAGGCCUAACACAUGCAAGUCGAACGGCAGCACAGGAGAGCUUGCUCUCUGGGUGGCGAGUGGCGGACGGGUGAGGAAUACAUCGGAAUCUACUUUUUCGUGAGGGAUAACGUAGGGAAACUUACGCUAAUACCGCAUACGACCUAAGGGUGUAAGGAGGGGAUCUUCGGACCUUGCUCGAUUGAAUGAGCCGAUGUCGGAUUAGCUAGUUUGCGGGGUAAAGGCCCACCAAGGCGACGAUCCGUAGCUGGUCUGAGAGGAUGAUCAGCCACACUGGAACUGAGACACGGUCCAGACUCCUACGGGAGGCAGCAGUGGGGAAUAUUGGACAAUGGGCGCAAGCCUGAUCCAGCCAUACCGCGUGGGUGAAGAAGGCCUUCGGGUUGUAAAGCCCUUUUGUUGGGAAAGAAAUCCAGCUGGUUAAUACCCGGUUGGGAUGACGGUACCCAAAGAAUAAGCACCGGCUAACUUCGUGCCAGCCGCCGCGGUAA
rnacentral:rRNA from 1 species